GGUUCGAACAGUAGACUAUGGGUUGCAACAGUAGGCUAUGUUCCAAUGGUAGGUUAUGGGUUCGAACAGUAGACUAUGGGUUGCAACAGUAGGCUAUGUUCCAAGGGUAGGCUAUGGGUUCGAACAGUAGACUAUGGGUUGCAACAGUAGGCUAUGUUCCAAGGGUAGGUUAUGGGUUCGAACAGUAGACUAUGGGUUGCAACAGUAGGCUAUGUUCCAAGGGUAGGUUAUGGGUUCGAACAGUAGACUAUGGGUUGCAACAGUAGGCUAUGUUCCAAGGGUAGGUUAUGGGUUCGAACAGUAGACUAUGGGUUGCAACAGUAGGCUAUGUUCCAAGGGUAGGUUAUGGGUUCGAACAGUAGACUAUGGGUUGCAACAGUAGGCUAUGUUCCAAGGGUAGGUUAUGGGUUCGAACAGUAGACUAUGGGUUGCAACAGUAGGCUAUGUUCCAAGGGUAGGUUAUGGGUUCGAACAGUAGACUAUGGGUUGCAACAGUAGGCUAUGUUCCAAGGGUAGGUUAUGGGUUCGAACAGUAGACUAUGGGUUGCAACAGUAGGCUAUGUUCCAAGGGUAGGUUAUGGGUUCGAACAGUAGACUAUGGGUUGCAACAGUAGGCUAUGUUCCAAGGGUAGGUUAUGGGUUCGAACAGUAGACUAUGGGUUGCAACAGUAGGCUAUGUUCCAAGGGUAGGUUAUGGGUUCGAACAGUAGACUAUGGGUUGCAACAGUAGGCUAUGUUCCAAGGGUAGGUUAUGGGUUCGAACAGUAGACUAUGGGUUGCAACAGUAGGCUAUGUUCCAAGGGUAGGUUAUGGGUUCGAACAGUAGACUAUGGGUUGCAACAGUAGGCUAUGUUCCAAGGGUAGGCUAUGGGUUCGAACAGUAGACUAUGGGUUGCAACAGUAGGCUAUGUUCCAAGGGUAGGUUAUGGGUUCGAACAGUAGACUAUGGGUUGCAACAGUAGGCUAUGUUCCAAGGGUAGGCUAUGGGUUCGAACAGUAGACUAUGGGUUGCAACAGUAGGCUAUGUUCCAAGGGUAGGUUAUGGGUUCGAACAGUAGACUAUGGGUUGCAACAGUAGGCUAUGUUCCAAGGGUAGGUUAUGGGUUCGAACAGUAGACUAUGGGUUGCAACAGUAGGCUAUGUUCCAAGGGUAGGUUAUGGGUUCGAACAGUAGACUAUGGGUUGCAACAGUAGGCUAUGUUCCAAGGGUAGGUUAUGGGUUCGAACAGUAGACUAUGGGUUGCAACAGUAGGCUAUGUUCCAAGGGUAGACUAUGGGUUCCAACUGUAAACUAUGGAUUCCAGGCGUUCACAAUCACAGCAAUCAAAUCAAAUCAAAUUGUAUUAGUCACAUGUGCCGAAUACAACAGGUGUAGAUCUUACAGUGAAAUGCUUACUUAUGAGCCCCUAACCAACAAUGCAGUUUUAGAAAAUAUGGAUAAGAAUAAGAAAUAAAGUUAACAAGUAAUUAGAGCAGCAGUAAAAUAACAAUAGCGAGACUAUAUGCAGGGGGGUACUGGUACAGAGUCAAUGUGCGGGGGCAACGGUUAGUUGAGGUAAAAAUGUACAUGUAGGUAGAGUUAUUAAAGUGACUCGUGAAAGGUAUUAUAAGGAUUUUUUACAGUGCUUUACAUGAAUCCAUUCUAGACUCAACACACAGAAACAUCUAUCUACAACUAAGAGCCAUGAGAUAGCUAACGUGAAGGAAUGAAGCAAGUACUUGGGUGUGGGAUGAUUUUUACCAUACAUAUUUUCAACCAUUGUAAUGUAACUGAUGUAACUGAUACAUGCAUGUUAAAUGUCAAUGUAAGGUAAACAGAAUGGACAUUUAUUUGAAAAUAAUUACUUUG